rnacentral:rRNA from 1 species
UGUAUUUAUUAGAUAAAAAACCAAUGCCCUUCGGGGCUUUUUGGUGAUUCAUGAUAACUUUACGGAUCGCAUAGCCUUGCGCUGGCGACGGUUCAUUCAAAUUUCUGCCCUAUCAACUUUCGAUGGUAAGGUAUUGGCUUACCAUGGUUUCAACGGGUAACGGGGAAUUAGGGUUCGAUUCCGGAGAGGGAGCCUGAGAAACGGCUACCACAUCCAAGGAAGGCAGCAGGCGCGCAAAUUACCCAAUCCCGACACGGGGAGGUAGUGACAAUAAAUACUGAUACAGGGCUCUUUUGGGUCUUGUAAUUGGAAUGAGUACAAUUUAAACCUCUUAACGAGGAACAAUUGGAGGGCAAGUCUGGUGCCAGCAGCCGCGGUAAUUCCAGCUCCAAUAGCGUAUAUUAAAGUUGUUGCAGUUAAAAAGCUCGUAGUUGAAACUUGGGCCUGGCUGGCGGGUCCGCCUCACCGCGUGCACUCGUCCGGCCGGGCCUUCCUCUCUGAAGAACCUCAUGCCCUUCACUGGGCGUGCUGGGGAACC